AGCGUUUAUCCUGCUUUUUGUUGCUUUGUUUUAUUUUCCCAAAUGUCACGCAUAGCAGUUUUUCACCAACACUGCCUAACGAAGAGCUUGUCUCAGUGAGAAUCCAGGGCCUGCCUGGUUGGAGUUUUGGAGUUGAGAGACCCAGAGCUGUGCAAACCUUUGCCUCAGCGCUUCUACCUCAGCAGUCUUUCAGAGUGACUGAUCUCGAACUCACUUCGCCUCUUCAGCACAGCAGAUUUGGUUCAUAACCGCUCCCACCCCUUGGCAUGAGGAGCCUCAGGUGCACACGUGUGAACAUCCCAGCCUGCGCAUCGCAGUCCUGUCCUGGCGGCACACACACCAGCAGCAUGGCCUACCCUGCGAGAACAGGCCCAUGCAGGAUUGCUCUACACUUGUGCUGAGAACAGUAUACAAGGAGCCCUGGGUGGAAGCCAAAUACCACAUAAGAGGUAUUCACAGCAAUCCAGUCAAGAGAUGAUGGUGGCCAAGGACCAAGGUGG
rnacentral:lncRNA from 1 species